UUGAUGUUUCACCGAACCGC
rnacentral:siRNA from 1 species